AUUGGGUGUUCUAGCCCAAAUUUACUAUGAAAGAAAAUUUUACAUGCAAGUUUUAGCCGGAGGAAACAAAUUUUUUUGAGAAGGAUGAAAUAUAAUAUUUAAUUGCAGUAAAGAAGGUUAUUAUUUUAGGAAACUAAGAUAUAAAUAUUUUGAAAAUGUAAACUAAGUCUGUGCCAGCAGUUGCGGCUAUACUUACUACGUAAUAGUAAAUUUUUGGCCUAUAGGCGGAUUUUAAGAGAGUUAGAACGGAAAUUUAUUAGGUGAAAUUUUAUUUUUUAUAUGACUUGCGUGAGCUAAUUUUUUCUAUAAAAACUUUAGUUUAAACUAGGAUUAGAUACCCUAUUAUAAAAGACGUAAUUUUUAGGCUGAAUUAGUAGUAGUUAAGUUCUUGAAAAUUAAGGGAGUUGGCGGUUUUUUAGUCUAUUCAGAGGAACUUGUCCUGUAAUUGAUAGUCCACGAUUUUAUUUACUUGUUUUAAAAAUUUACAUAUCGCCGUAGGUGGAAUAUUUUAAAAAGAAGAAGAAUGUUCAGAAUUUUAGGAGAAGUUAUAUCAGGUCAAGGUGUAGUUUAUGAACAAGGAGAGAUGAGUUACAAUAGAAUUAUUUAUACGGAGAUAGAAUUUUUAAUGAUUUAUUGAAGGUGGAUUUGAAGGUAAUUUUAGAAAUUUUUUUAAAAUGAUUUAAGCUCUAGAAUAUGCACAUAUCGCCCGUCGCUUUCACUUUAAGGUGGAAUAAGUCGUAACAAAGUAGAUGUACUGGAAAGUGUCUCUAGAAAGAC
rnacentral:ncRNA from 1 species